rnacentral:rRNA from 1 species
UGGGGAAUCUUGCGCAAUGGGCGAAAGCCUGACGCAGCGACGCCGCGUGGGGGAAGAAGGCUUUCGGGUUGUAAACCCCUUUCAGGAGGGACGAAGCCACUCAGGUUAAUAGCCGAGAGGGUGACGGUACCUCCAGAAGAAGCCCCGGCUAACUACGUGCCAGCAGCCGCGGUAAUACGUAGGGGGCAAGCGUUGUCCGGAUUUAUUGGGCGUAAAGAGCGUGUAGGCGGCCAGAUAAGUCUGCUGUGGAAACUCGAGGCUCAACCUCGAGCUGUCGGCGGAAACUAUUUGGCUAGAGUCCGGAAGAGGAAAGCGGAAUUCCUGGUGUAGCGGUGAAAUGCGCAGAUAUCAGGAAGAACACCCGUGGCGAAGGCGGCUUUCUGGGACGGUACUGACGCUGAGACGCGAAAGCGUGGGGAGCGAAC